CUACGUGCCAGCAGCCGCGGUAAUACGGAGGAUGCGAGCGUUAUCCGGAUUUAUUGGGUUUAAAGGGUGCGUAGGUUGUUCGGUAAGUCAGCGGUGAAACCUGAGCGCUCAACGUUCAGCCUGCCGUUGAAACUGGCGGACUUGAGUGCACGCAACGUAUGCGGAAUUCAUGGUGUAGCGGUGAAAUGCUUAGAUAUCAUGACGAACUCCGAUUGCGAAGGCAGCGUACGGGAGUGUUACUGACGCUUAAGCUCGAAGGUGCGGGUAUCGAACAGGAUUAGAUACCCUGGUAGUCCGCACGGUAAACGAUGGAUGCCCGCUGUUAGCGCCUGGCGUUAGCGGCUAAGCGAAAGCAUUAAGCAUCCCACCUGGGGAGUACGCCGGCAACGGUGAAACUCAAAGGAAUUGACGGGGGCCCGCACAAGCGGAGGAACAUGUGGUUUAAUUCGAUGAUACGCGAGGAACCUUACCCGGGCUUGAA
rnacentral:rRNA from 1 species